rnacentral:rRNA from 1 species
UACGGAGGGUGCGAGCGUUGUCCGGAAUCACUGGGCGUAAAGGGCGCGUAGGCGGCCUGAUAAGUAGGGGGUGAAAUCCUGCGGCUUAACCGCAGGGCUGCCUUCUAAACUGUCAGGCUAGAGCACAGUAGAGGCAGGUGGAAUUCCCGGUGUAGCGGUGGAAUGCGUAGAUAUCUGGAGGAAUACCGGUGGCGAAGGCGGCAUCCUGGACCGACAUUGACGCUGAACGGCGAAAGCUAGGGGAGCAAACGGG